UGAACAUGCAUUCUCAGAAUAUACAGUACAUAAUAACUGUAUCAUAAAUAUAUUUUUCUCUGUUAUCGCUCUCUUUUUGCAGUAAGAUUUGUGGCAGUAAAGUAUGUGAUCCUCGGCAGGAAUCAUCUCCUCUAACAUAUGGGUGUCUCCUGGUCCAAAAGGCUUCUCUGUGGGCCAGAGUCUGCUAAGCUAUAAAGGAGGUGUUCCGGACUCGCUGCUCUCCUACAGGAUGACAGCUGGUGAGGAGCCGGCCUCUCCAAUGAGGAAACCAGCAACAUGCAAGAGAACGGCGGAGCCCGAAGCAGCCCCCAAGAUCCUUUGCAUCACUCCUCGGGCCAAUCAUCUCUGUUUGAGGUACGUGACAUAGCAACUGCC
ensembl:lncRNA